rnacentral:ribozyme from 1 species
GAGGGUGGUUGCACGGCGGAGCCGGUAGUGGGGAGGGCCCCGCCUUG